ACGUAUCCCGUCGCACCCCCAACCCGUCCCAACUCGGGCAUGAUGGCUGGUGGGAGCGGAUAUUGGCCUCCCGUGUACUCGCGUUACGGUUGGUUUAAAAUCGAGCCCCGAGCGACGAACGUCACGACAAGUGGUGGUCUGUAAUAGCUAUUUCGUGUUGUGCGUUGUCUCGUCGCCCGUGGGAGCUCACAAAGACCCCAAAGCAUCGUCACGAUGAUGCAUCCAUCG
rnacentral:rRNA from 1 species